AUUGAACGCUGGCGGCAGGCUUAACACAUGCAAGUCGAGCGGGGGAAUUUAGCUUGCUACCGGACCUAGCGGCGGACGGGUGAGUAAUGCUUAGGAAUCUGCCUAUUAGUGGGGGACAACAUUUCGAAAGGGAUGCUUAUACCGCAUACGUCCUACGGGAGAAAGCAGGGGAUCUUCGGACCUUGCGCUAAUAGAUGAGUCUAAGUCGGAUUAGCUAGUUGGUGGGGUAAAGGUCUACCAAGGCGACGAUCUGUAGCUGGUCAGAGAGGAUGAUCCGCCACACUGGAAAUGAGACACGGCCCAGGAUCCUAGGAGAGACAGCAGUAGGGGAUAUUGGACCAUGGGGGGAACCCUGAUCCAGGCAUGGCGCGGGGGUGAAAAAGGCCAUAUGGUUGUAAGGCACUUUAAGCGAGGAGGAGGCUACGUUAGUUAAUACCUAGAGAUAGUGGACGUUACUCGCAGAAUAAGCACCGGCUAACUCUGUGCCAGCCGCCGCGGUAA
rnacentral:rRNA from 1 species